rnacentral:rRNA from 1 species
GGAGGAAAAGAAACCAACAGGGAUUGCCUCAGUAACGGCGAGUGAAGCGGCAAAAGCUCAAAUUUGAAAUCCUUCGGGAAUUGUAUUUUGAAGGUGGGUUUGGUUAGGAAAAGAUACUUUAAGUCCAUUGGAAAAUGGCGCCAUGGAGGGUGAUAGCCCCGUAAAAGUCCCCCUUUUCCUUCUAUCCAUUCCCUCCAAAGAGUCGAGUUGUUUGGGAAUGCAGCUCUAAGUGGGUGGUAAAUUCCAUCUAAAGCUAAAUAUUGGCGAGAGACCGAUAGCGAACAAGUACAGUGAUGGAAAGAUGAAAAGCACUUUGAAAAGAGAGUGAAAAAGUACGUGAAAUUGUUGAAAGGGAAGGGCUUGCAAGCAGACACAACCUCGGUUGGGCCAGCAUCGGAGUGGGGGGAGACAAAAAAGAAAAGGAAUGUAACUCUUUCGAGUAUUAUAGCCUUCUCUCAUAUCUCCACCCCCUUCCGAGGCCUGCGAUUCUUCAAGGAUGCUGGCGUAAUGGUUGCAAGUCG